rnacentral:rRNA from 1 species
UACGAAGGUGGCAAGCGUUGUUCGGAUUUACUGGGCGUACAGGGAGCGUAGGCGGUUGGAUAAGCCCUCCGUGAAAUCUCCAGGCUUAACCUGGAAAGUGCAGAGGGGACUGUUCAGCUAGAGGAUGGGAGAGGAGCGCGGAAUUCCCGGUGUAGCGGUGAAAUGCGUAGAGAUCGGGAGGGAGGCCGGUGGCGAAGGCGGCGCUCUGGAACAUUUCUGACGCUGAGGCUCGAAAGCGUGGGGAGCAAACAGG